AAGGCUGAGGCGUGAUGACGAGGCACUGCGGUGCUGAAGCAACAAAUGCCCUGCUUCCAGGAAAAGCCUCUAAGCAUCAGGUAACAUCAAAUCGUACCCCAAACCGACACAGGUGGUCAGGUAGAGAAUACCAAGGCGCUUGAGAGAACUCGGGUGAAGGAACUAGGCAAAAUGGUGCCGUAACUUCGGGAGAAGGCACGCUGAUAUGUAGGUGAAGUCCCUCGCGGAUGGAGCUGAAAUCAGUCGAAGAUACCAGCUGGCUGCAACUGUUUAUUAAAAACACAGCACUGUGCAAACACGAAAGUGGACGUAUACGGUGUGACGCCUGCCCGGUGCCGGAAGGUUAAUUGAUGGGGUUAGCGCAAGCGAAGCUCUUGAUCGAAGCCCCGGUAAACGGCGGCCGUAACUAUAACGGUCCUAAGGUAGCGAAAUUCCUUGUCGGGUAAGUUCCGACCUGCACGAAUGGCGUAAUGAUGGCCAGGCUGUCUCCACCCGAGACUCAGUGAAAUUGAACUCGCUGUGAAGAUGCAGUGUACCCGCGGCAAGACGGAAAGACCCCGUGAACCUUUACUAUAGCUUGACACUGAACAUUGAGCCUUGAUGUGUAGGAUAGGUGGGAGGCUUUGAAGUGUGGACGCCAGUCUGCAUGGAGCCGACCUUGAAAUACCACCCUUUAAUGUUUGAUGUUCUAACGUUGACCCGUAAUCCGGGUUGCGGACAGUGUCUGGUGGGUAGUUUGACUGGGGCGGUCUCCUCCUAAAGAGUAACGGAGGAGCACGAAGGUUGGCUAAUCCUGGUCGGACAUCAGGAGGUUAGUGCAAUGGCAUAAGCCAGCUUGACUGCGAGCGUGACGGCGCGAGCAGGUGCGAAAGCAGGUCAUAGUGAUCCGGUGGUUCUGAAUGGAAGGGCCAUCGCUCAACGGAUAAAAGGUACUCCGGGGAUAACAGGCUGAUACCGCCCAAGAGUUCAUAUCGACGGCGGUGUUUGGCACCUCGAUGUCGGCUCAUCACAUCCUGGGGCUGAAGUAGGUCCCAAGGGUAUGGCUGUUCGCCAUUUAAAGUGGUACGCGAGCUGGGUUUAGAACGUCGUGAGACAGUUCGGUCCCUAUCUGCCGUGGGCGCUGGAGAACUGAGGGGGGCUGCUCCUAGUACGAGAGGACCGGAGUGGACGCAUCACUGGUGUUCGGGUUGUCAUGCCAAUGGCACUGCCCGGUAGCUAAAUGCGGAAGAGAUAAGUGCUGAAAGCAUCUAAGCACGAAACUUGCCCCGAGAUGAGUUCUCCCUGACUCCUUGAGAGUCCUGAAGGAACGUUGAAGACGACGACGUUGAUAGGCCGGGUGUGUAAGCGCAGCGAUGCGUUGAGCUAACCGGUACUAAUGAACCGUGAGGCUUAACCUUACAACGCCGAAGGUGUUU
rnacentral:rRNA from 1 species